UUUCAGCAUAUGUAUGCAUCUUCUCAGAUGGUUUUUAUAUUUACGCUUUGUAAUCAAAAUGAUAUGAGAAACAGAAAAUGUUUGCUUUCAAAUUUGAAAAAGAAAAUGCAGUUAUUUUUACAAUAUCUGAUUUUCCGUUCUCGGUCUCUCCUUUUUCACGGCACUCCUAGCUUUUAUUUUUCCCCCUUUUGAGUUCCUUUCCCUUUUCAGAAAAUAUCUUUGUUCAGGAUGUUGAAUUUAUGCUAGAAUAUAUUUAUUGGUUUCCCUGGUUCUAGUUUGUCGUUUCCUUUUUAAAAUUAAACAUCCUUGGAAGUGCUUAGAUCAGGGUUCUAAAAAUAAAAAGUGUUAAAUAUUAAUUCGGCAACUAGCUAGUAGCGGUGCUUUGAAUACAAACAUGUAAGUUUUGUGACUGCAUUAUAAGCUUUAUACUAUGUUAUGAUGAAUUUGCUACCUUCCUUAUGUUUUGUCAUCUACGGAUUUAUUUCAUGUAGUACAGCCAUCAUUGCAGACAGCAGCUCAAUGUUACAAUAUAAUAGCAAACAUAUAUCAAUGCCUUAUAAUUUUCUUCUUUUUUGACAAAGUAUGCUCAAUCAAGAGUCCAAAACAGAUCGACGGUUCUAUUGGAGAAGAUGCCUUGUUUAUGUGGAAUACGACGGAUCAAAAAGAAAUCCUUGCUGUCAGCUGGGGAAUAAGAAAGGGAAACAUCCCCGAUCCUCAGUUUAUCAGUGUUAAUGGAUAUCAUGGAAGGGUCACCAAAAACAAAGAUAUUGGCGACACGUUAAAAAGAAGAGUAGAAUUUAUUGGAAACUUGAAAAUAGGUCGUGCUUGGUUUGUGUUGAAGAACCUUACUGUCAAUGACACUAAUGAAUACAUUGCAAGCAUCAGUGACGAUGUAUCAUAUGAUAUACCAUAUUAUGUGCGCCUAACUGUUGCAAAGAAGGGUAAAGUUAAGCCAUGCACUCUUUUGGGAGUAACAUAACUUAUCUAUUUCAUAUAAACUUCUGAUUCCUAACUUCUUAUUCCCUAAUCCACAUAGACCGUAUUCUCUUUAAGGAAAACAAUACGAUAUACAUAUUAUACAUAUUUGUUGUGAAGUGUUAUCGUCAGGGUGAGUGUUGUGUUGAGAAAGACUGUUGUUGGUGGUGACUUACCUCUGGACAACCUGAGCGGGAGUCAAUUUCAAAGACUUUCUCUAGUUCAUGUUCAUGUCUUCCUUAAGACUACACUCACCUGGAUGAUCACUGACUUCACAGCAAACAUCAACGCCUGGGUUCAAUAUAACGAAGCAAAAUGUAGUCUUUGUAGUAUUUCGACAACCAUGCGAAACGUUGGUUAUAUUUUUAGGCAACUUCAUAACUUUGUUUUUAAUAAUAGCAAUAAUAAUAAUAAUAAUAAUAAUAAAUUGAUAGAUAGUUUAUGAUACAACAGAUGGUAAUGGGCCAUCGAUAUCAACCAACACUAUCUGUUUUGAUCAAAACCUAGCCCCAUGUAGUGAUGCAUGACCUUAUCUAACCACAAAAUGUUAAUAGCAAAUUAGUUAGAAUAUAAACCAUCUUGCGAUUAGCCCAAACACCUGGUAACUAUAACCACAUGGAUCCCGCGCGAUAUAUUUUUGAUUAUUAUGUUUUCAGUAACACCAACAGAAAGACCUUCUCCAACCCCAGUCACUACAGCUGCUGCUCCGAACAUUAUAAAUAAAUAGUGAAAAAUAGGUGUUUUUGCAUCAGUCCCUUAAUUUUGUUAGUAUUGCAUAAAUAAUUUAACAAUUUGGCAGGCUGGAGUCAGUGACAGCUAUACGGUAGAAAAGAGAGACAGAGAGAGAAAGAGAGAGAGAGAGAGACAGAGAGGGAGAGGGAGAGAGAUCAACAGUCUGAAUAAACGCACAAUAUAAUAUAAUUGUGUAACCUAUUCUAUUUCUUUUAUUAUUGAUAUAGGAGCUUCGACAACUAAAACUACUACAAGUUCGAACAUUACAAACUGUUGAAUUCUUCUGACUGAAGAAUCUGUGAAUCAAUUUUCCGUAAAAAAGUACUCAAUACAUCCAUAGAGCACCACCCAAACCGAACUCGUCAAACAUACAAAGGCACAUUAAGGGUUACAUAAUAUUAAUGGAUAUUGCACUGGUCAUGUGGCACUUAAAUUUAGGGUCUUUGUUCUCAACGAAAAGACCAAGAGAGUCAGAAACUCCCUAAACUGCAAUUAUGUUGUUGUUAGUGCGUGGGGGAAUAUAGAAAUCACCAGAGGGUGUGUAUAGACAUUGAAGGAUUACUGCAGUUCUUAACAGGGGUUGAACAAAAUUACUUUGCGAUGGCUUUAGCAGUAAUUAAAACUUCGUUAUGCGUGCUUGGAGGAAAUGGAAACCAAAAUUUUUUUUAGAUAUAUAAAUAUAUAUGCAUAUUUAACCUAUGCAUUUAAACUGAGUGGAUGUUGCAAUAGACCCCUCAUGGAGUUUCAAACUUAAACUACCUCAAAACCUUUUAGGGUACCAAGAAAAUAGUGACAUUUUGUGUAACAAAAAGCUACUGAAGAGGAUUUUGGUUGUGUGAGGUCUGAGGGGUCAUAAUACUCAGGUCUAUUGCUUUGCACGAGUGAAAUAUUCAAGAUGAGAAAUAAACCAAAGUACAAAUCAGAAUCCGAAAUGAAAAAUGAAACCAUAAGCAAAGCAACGUGGAAAUAAAUAAGCAAAAA